ACGGGAGGCAGCAGUGGGGAAUUUUGCGCAAUGGGGGGAACCCUGACGCAGCAACGCCGCGUGCGGGAUGGAGGCCUUCGGGCUGUAAACCGCUUUCAGCAGGGAAGACAACGACGGUACCUGCAGAAGAAGCUCCGGCUAACUACGUGCCAGCAGCCGCGGUAAUACGUAGGGGGCGAGCGUUAUCCGGAUUCAUUGGGCGUAAAGCGCGCGUAGGCGGCUGCCUAAGCGGAGUUUCUAACCUUGGGGCUCAACCUCAAGCCGGACUCCGAACUGGGCGGCUCGAGUGCGGUAGGGGCAGGCGGAAUUCCACGUGUAGCGGUGAAAUGCGUAGAUAUUAGGAAGAACACCAGUGGCGAAGGCGAUCUACUGGACGAUAACUGACGCUGAGGCGCGAAAGCGUGGGGAGCAAACAGGAUUAGAUACCUGGUA
rnacentral:rRNA from 1 species